rnacentral:rRNA from 1 species
UACGUAGGUGGCGAGCGUUAUCCGGAAUUAUUGGGCGUAAAGAGCGCGCAGGUGGUUGAUUAAGUCUGAUGUGAAAGCCCACGGCUUAACCGUGGAGGGUCAUUGGAAACUGGUCGACUUGAGUGCAGAAGAGGAGAGUGGAACUCCAUGUGUAGCGGUGAAAUGCGUAGAUAUAUGGAAGAACACCAGUGGCGAAAGCGGCUCUCUGGUCUGUAACUGACGCUGAGGUUCGAAAGCAUGGGUAGCGAACAGGAUUA